rnacentral:rRNA from 1 species
GACGAACGCUGGCGGCGUGCCUAAUACAUGCAAGUAGAACGCUGAAGGAGGAGCUUGCUUCUCUGGAUGAGUUGCGAACGGGUGAGUAACGCGUAGGUAACCUGCCUGGUAGCGGGGGAUAACUAUUGGAAACGAUAGCUAAUACCGCAUAAGAGUAGAUGUCGCAUGACAUUUGCUUAAAAGGUGCACUUGCAUCACUACCACAUGGACCUGCGUUGUAUUAGCUAGUUGGUGAGGUAACGGCUCACCAAGGCAACGAUACAUAGCCGACCUGAGAGGGUGAUCGGCCAAACUGGGACUGAGACACGGCCCAGACGCCUACGGGAGGCAGCAGUAGGGAAUCUUCGGCAAUGGACGGAAGGCUGACCGAGCAACGCCGCGUGAGUGAAGAAGGUUGUCGGAUCGUAAAGCUCUGUUGUAAGAGAAGAACGAGGGUGAGAGUGGAAAGUUCACACUGUGACGGUAUCUGACCAGAAAGGGACGGCUAACUACGUG